CGGGAGCAAUCUCGCAAGUAAAGUGGCGUACGGGUGAGUAACACGUGGAUCAUCUGCCCUGGAGUGGGGAAUAACGCUGGGAAACCGGCGCUAAUACCGCAUAUACCCGAGAGGGGAAAGCAGCAAUGCGCUCGAGGAGGAGUCCGCGGCCGAUUAGCUAGUUGGCAGGGUAAAAGCCUACCAAGGCUGUGAUCGGUAGCCGGCCUGAGAGGGCACACGGCCACACUGGCACUGAAACACGGGCCAGACUCCUACGGGAGGCAGCAGUGGGGAAUCUUGCACAAUGGGGGAAACCCUGAUGCAGCGACGCCGCGUGAGCGAUGAAGCCCUUCGGGGUGUAAAGCUCUUUCGGCAGGGAAGAUUAUGACGGUACCUGCAGAAGCAGCUGCGGCUAACUACGUGCCAGCAGCCGCGGUAAUACGUAGGCAGCAAGCGUUGUUCGGAGUUACUGGGCGUAAAGGGUGUGUAGGUGGCGCGCUAAGUUCCGUGUGAAAUCUCCCGGCUCAACCGGGAGGGUGCGCGGAAAACUGGCAGGCUAGAGUACGGGAUGGGAGAGUAGAAUUCCUGGUGUAGCGGUGAAAUGCGUAGAUAUCAGGAGGAAUACCGGUGGUGUAGACGGCUCUCUGGACCGUAACUGACACUGAAACACGAAAGCGUGGGUAGCAAACAGGAUUAGAUACCCUGGUAGUCCACGCCCUAAACGAUGCAUAUUUGGUGUAGGUCAUUCAGUUGAUCUGUGCCGGAGCUAACGCGUUAAAUAUGCCGCCUGGGGAGUACAGUCGCAAGGCUGAAACUCAAAGGAAUUGAC
rnacentral:rRNA from 1 species